rnacentral:rRNA from 1 species
GAUGAACGCUGGCGGCGUGCCUAAUACAUGCAAGUCGAGCGAACGGACGAGAAGCUUGCUUCUCUGAUGUUAGCGGCGGACGGGUGAGUAACACGUGGAUAACCUACCUAUAAGACUGGGAUAACUUCGGGAAACCGGAGCUAAUACCGGAUAAUAUUUUGAACCGCAUGGUUCAAAAGUGAAAGACGGUCUUGCUGUCACUUAUAGAUGGAUCCGCGCUGCAUUAGCUAGUUGGUAAGGUAACGGCUUACCAAGGCAACGAUGCAUAGCCGACCUGAGAGGGUGAUCGGCCACACUGGAAGUGAGACACGGUCCAGACUCCUACGGGAGGCAGCAGUAGGGAAUCUUCCGCAAUGGGCGAAAGCCUGACGGAGCAACGCCGCGUGAGUGAUGAAGGUCUUCGGAUCGUAAAACUCUGUUAUUAGGGAAGAACGUAUGUGUAAGUAACUGUGCACAUCUUGACGGUACCUAAUCAGAAAGCCACGGCUAACUACGUG